rnacentral:rRNA from 1 species
GAUGAACGCUGGCGGCGUGCCUAACACAUGCAAGUCGAGCGAACCACUUCGGUGGUGAGCGGCGAACGGGUGAGUAACACGUAGGUGAUCUGCCCAUCAGACGGGGACAACGAUUGGAAACGAUCGCUAAGUACCGGAUAGGACGUAAAGUUUAAAGGUGCUUCUGGCACCGCUGAUGGAUGAGCCUGCGGCGCAUUAGCUAGUUGGUAGGGUAAAGGCCUACCAAGGCGACGAUGCGUAGCCGACCUGAGAGGGUGAACGGCCACACUGGGACUGAGACGACGGCCCAGACUCCGUACGGGAGCAGCAGUA